UUUUUUUAAAAACACGAUCGUGAUGGGGAUAGAACAUUGCAAUUAUUGUUCUUCAACGAGGAAUGCCUAGUAAGCGCGAGUCAUCAUCUCGCGUUGAUUACGUCCCUGCCCUUUGUACACACCGCCCGUCGCUCCUACCGAUUGAACGUGCUGGUGAAGCGUUAGGACUGGAACUCUGGGCCGGUUUUCCUGCCCAUUGCUUCGGGAAUUUCGUUGAACCCUCCCGUUUAGAGGAAGGAGAAGUCGUAACAAGGUCUCCGUAGGUGAACCUGCGGAGGGAUCAUUGAAACCGAUCAAUCCAACCACAGAGCACCUGUGGGUCCGCCCCCAGCCCGGUGCCGUCCCCUCUCGGGGGCGCCCGGGGGGUUUUGGGGCGGGCCCGCCGUAUUCUAAGGGUCCGCCGGUCGCCCCCUCGGGGGAGGCCGGUCCCGGAUCCCCAACCCAUCUGAACCCUUCUGCCCUGAAGCAGCUUCGCAAGGGGACACCCCGAGCGACAGUAACAGAGACAACUCUCAACAACGGAUAUCUUGGCUCUCGCAACGAUGAAGAACGCAGCGAAAUGCGAUACGUAGUGUGAAUUGCAGAAUUCCGUGAGUCAUCGAAUCUUUGAACGCACAUUGCCGGUCGACUCUUCGGAGGAGACCACAUCUGCCUCAGCGUCGGGAUACCCCCUCACGCACAACCGCGCGUGGAUCUGGCCCCCCCGGCCCCCCUCGCAGGGGACCGGGCCGGCUGAAAUGCAGAGGCCCGUGCGCGGCCCACUUGUGGCCCCGACUAGGUAGGUAGCUCGCUACUGCUAGGCGGCGGCUCGGUGCCGCGGACUUUGGGCCGCAAAGGAUACUCCCAUUCAUUCGACCUGAGUUCAGGUGAGGCUACCCCGCUGAACUUAAGAAACUCAUAUUUGAGGCA
rnacentral:rRNA from 1 species